CACGUAGGGCGCAAGCGUUGUUCGGAAUUACUGGGCGUAAAGGGCUCGUAGGCGGCCGGCUAAGUCCGACGUGAAAUCCCCAGGCUUAACCUGGGAACUGCGUCGGAUACUGGCGGGCUUGAAUCCGGGAGAGGGAUGCGGAAUUCCAGGUGUAGCGGUGAAAUGCGUAGAUAUCUGGAGGAACACCGGUGGCGAAGGCGGCAUCCUGGACCGGCAUUGACGCUGAAUAGCGAAAGCCAGGGGAGCAAACGGG
rnacentral:rRNA from 1 species